UCGAGGAUCUUCGGCAAUGGGCGCAAGCCUGACCGAGCGACGCCGCGUGUGCGAUGAAGGCCUUCGGGUUGUAAAGCACUGUCGAGGGGGAGGAAGCCGCAAGGUUGACCUAUCCCUGGAGGAAGCACGGGCUAAGUUCGUGCCAGCAGCCGCGGUAAGACGAACCGUGCGAACGUUGUUCGGAUUCACUGGGCUUAAAGGGCGCGUAGGCGGCGCGAAAAGUCUGGGGUGAAAUCUUUCGGCUUAACCGGAAAAGAGCCCCCGAUACUGGCGCGCUGGAGGGAGGUAGGGGCAUGUGGAACUCCAGGUGGAGCGGUGAAAUGCGUAGAUAUCUGGAGGAACGCCGGUGGCGAAAGCGACGUGCUGGACCUUCUCUGACGCUGAGGCGCGAAAGCUAGGGGAGCAAACGG
rnacentral:rRNA from 1 species